rnacentral:misc_RNA from 1 species
GGAAAAGUUAUAGUAUUGUAUAUCCUUGGAAUUAAACCAACAAAAGAAAACCAAAAUGGAAUCGUUUAAAAUACUAAGCUCCUAGUACAUGAGGAAUCGAAGCUGAGGACAUCUUUAGUCAGGUAGGCUCACUUACUUUCUUGAAUCACUAAGGUUAUUGGUAUUAGUAGACAUUAACCCAACUAUGGAAUUCUAAAAAAUCCCCAAAAAAAAAUGUUUCUUCAGUCAAAUUCUAAUACAGAAAUUUAAAAGAAAAUACUUUUUUCAUCCAACUUCAACUAGGACAAAAAAUAACUUUACAUUCAGAAAUCAGAAAUAAGGAUAUUUAGGACAAUACCAUGGAAGGAAGCGCAUCAUGAUG